rnacentral:misc_RNA from 1 species
GUUUCCAUUGAGCUUCCAGCUCCAAAUGGCUGGUUGAAAAGGUUUCUGCCUAAGAAAGGAGGGACGCCAAAGAAAAAUGAGAUCGUGUUUACUGCACCAACAGGGGAGGAGAUUACUACAAAGAAACAGUUGCAGCAGUACCUGAAGUCUCACCCUGGUGGUCCUGCAAUCACUGAGUUUGACUGGGGAAGUGGGGAAGCUCCAAGAAGAUCCACAAGGAUCACUGGAAAGGCAAAGACAGCUCCACUUGCAGCAGAAAGUGUGACUCCAACAAAGCGAAACAGAAGAUCUUCAGCUUCUAAGAAGGACGUGAAAGACAAAAAAGAACAGGAAGAAACUGAGGCAGCAAAGGAUGUUGACAUGCCAGAAGCUGACAAACAGGAAAAGGAUGGUGUGUCUGUGGAAGCUGAAAAACAUGAAAAGGAUGCUGUGGCUGUGGAAGCUGGAAAACAUGAAAAGGAUGCUGCGGCUGUGGAAGCUGAAAAGGUGGUCGUACAGAAACAUGACGAGGGAAAAGAUGAAAACAAGGAAGAAAUGCCUUCUACUGAUGUCGGUAUUGUGAAGGAGAACCAAGCUAAACAGACAAGUCAAGGCCAAACUGAAGAUGGUCCUUCCAAAGAUGAUGCUGUUGAGAAGGAUGUUCAAAUGGCUGAUCAUGCUGCUG